CAGCCAUACCCACUCAUUUAUGUAUUAUCCAUGGCUGCUUUUUCUCUACAGUGGCAGAAUUGAGCUAUUGCGACAGACACUGUGUGCCUCCCCAAGCCUGAAAUAUUCACUCUUUGCCCUUAUAGGGAAAGUUGGGUCAAGCCCUGUUGUACUUGUCUCCCCCAGUUCCCCAGCUGAGUUGAGCUCCACGGCGCUAAUUUGAGCUCCACGGCGCUAAUUUGCUUGCUAACAUACCUUCUAUUGACAUCUUUUUCUUCCCUGUCUCGUUUUUUUAUUCCCUGCCACUAUUUCCUGGAUAUCCUAAAUUAAUGACUUGCACUCACAUUCUUGACCCAAAGUGGAGUUCUGGGGGAACCCAACCAAUGCACACAUCAUGUCCUUGUUUGUCCUAACUCCAGGACAAACUUACCAGCAGAGCAGAGACCACUUAAGAGCAGGGUCAACCUCAGCACAAUGAUUAAGUUAUCACGCCCCUCCCACCCCCACCGUCCUGUCUCUUCUGCAGCACUGUUUAACAAUUCAACCUUGCGGACAUGACUUUUUCUAGUUCAUAUAUUCUAUCUUAUUGAGUGCCACCUCUGCACCAGGGAUGAUGGAGGAGAGGAUAGAGAGCAAGAGGAAGAAAGAAAAUCCCAUCUUGUCCUAUAUAGGAUGCUCCCUUUUUACAACAGAAGCCUGCUUGGAGCGGAUCCCGAGGUGCCCAUGCACCUGAGUCAUUGCCAGUUGGUCUCAGCCUCACAGGACAUGGCCGAGUCAUUGUCCACCCCCACUUUAUGCUGCUGUUUUCAUUUGUCUCUGCCUACCCCUCCUAAUUACUUAGGUCACUUCAGACUUUAAUUCUGUCUUCUAAAGUGUAACAGCCAUAAUUAGGCCAUAUGUUAAUUAGCAAGAUGACGUCUUGUCACUCGUGAGAGAUGUGGAUCAUCGCAGAAAGUACCAUAGAAAGGGGAGUUCAGCAGGAAGAGGAAGUCUACGGAGGCUGGAAGUGACUCUCUGUCUAGCCAAAACUACCUUAGAGAGCAGGAGAAAAUGGCAGGAUGCAAGAGGGCAAAAGGAUGGGGUCACACGAAGAAAAAGAGCUAGAGUUGACCUCUUUUCUACUCCAGGAAUGAGCUGCAAGCCAGGAGACAAGCCUGAGGCCAAGAAGUCACCAGGGAUGGCAGAAUGUUCUGAAGGACUGGAGGUGGCCAGGGCUGAGGGCAAGGCCUCGAAGGAGGCAACGGGCAAGGACCUUGCCGUUGGUUGCCUUGGAUCUCAUGGUACUGUCACAACUUUAGGCUGUGACUUUGCUGCAGGUGCUAACAGGAGGAGACAAUAG
rnacentral:lncRNA from 12 species